rnacentral:rRNA from 1 species
GACGAACGCUGGCGGCGUGCUUAACACAUGCAAGUCGAACGGAAAGGCCCUGCUUUUGUGGGGUGCUCGAGUGGCGAACGGGUGAGUAACACGUGAGUAACCUGCCCUUGACUUUGGGAUAACUUCAGGAAACUGGUGCUAAUACCGGAUAGGAGCUCCUGCUGCAUGGUGGGGGUUGGAAAGUUUCGGCGGUUGGGGAUGGACUCGCGGCUUAUCAGCUUGUUGGUGGGGUAGUGGCUUACCAAGGCUUUGACGGCUAGCCGGCCUGAGAGGGUGGACGGCCACAUUGGGACUGAGAGACGGCCCAGACUCCUACGGGAGGCAGAAGUGGGGAAUAUUGCACAAUGGGCGGAAGCCUGAUGCGGCAGCGCCGGGUGCGGGAUGACGGCCUUCGGGUUGGAAACCGCUUUCGCCUGUGACGAAGCGUGAGUGACGGUAAUGGGUAAAGAAGCACCGGCUAACUACGUG